ACAAGCUAAAAGUCAGGAUGAUGUGGUUUACUCCAGCUUGGCUCUGGAGAACCAGACUAAGAUGGAAAAGAAGGAGAAGAGCACUGAGAGUGUCCAGGAAGCUGGGGGUCAUAAUGAUGUGGUUUACUCCAGCAUGGCCCUGGAUGUCAAGAAGAAGAAGGAAAAGAAUACUGACAGCAGUGAUCCAGAUGUGAUGUAUUCCACAGUCAAAAAUGGAUAGAGAGGAAGAGUGAGUGUCUGGUAUCUCAACUCCACUCC